ensembl:lncRNA
GGUUGGGCCUGUCCCUCCAGGCUGUACGCUGCAGACGGCAGGCCUCUGUACCGUGAGGCUGGGCCUGUCCCGGUCCACCUCCAGGCUGUACGCUGCAGACGGCAGGCCUCUGUACCGUGAGGUUGAGCCUACCCCAGUCCACCUCCAGGCUGUACGCUGCAGAUGGCAGGCCUCUGAUCUCCAGGGAGGACAUACUACUGUGUGUGUCAUCAGGAGAGCCCUACGUCAGCCGUAAAGGUUCACCUCUAACCUCUGACCCCCUCCCACUCAAUGUAAAAAAUAGAGCAAGGGUUAUUCUGAUGUUUUUAUUUACAGAAAGAAAGUGAACUGUGGAUUCUGCAGUACAUUUGCUAACAGAUAUAUUUCUAUAAGCAUUUCCCCUUUCCAGAUUGUAAGGAAAAGAUUGAGAUGAGAGCCAGCUAUGCUUGAGUGACGAGAUCUCGAGACCAUGAUUGUACAACAACAGACGGGACCAAAGGAGCUCCUGACUUCCACAAUUCAACUGAACCAUGCAACCCCUCGGCGAAAGCACAAAUUACUCAAAAGAGCAUCGACGGUGGCAUACCAUCACUUGACAUGGACAGACGUCAUGAAAUACUCACCAGUCUGGUUGCCAUAGAACUGAAGCCCUUCAGCCUAUCCUCACACACUAAGGCAACAGUUAAAGAGGGAGAAAAGAAGGAGAGGAUAUGAAGGCUUAGAGAAAUACCCAUCCUUGUACAUACUGCAUGACUCCCACAAACCGUCACAUACACACACCUACAUCGAAAAGCACCAGAUAUUGUUAUCUAGGAAGUGCUGAAGUGUGAAUCACCACCAAGGAAAGGUCAUUUUUUCCUCUAUAAUACAUUACAACUAAAUGAAAAUAUCCUAAGUAUGAGGUAAUUGCAUGGAGACAGGUUAUGCACCCGUGUCAGUAGAAAAGCAAAAUAAUGCAUAUUUUGUUUGCUGAAGGGGCCUUACAUUAAGGAACAGGGCCACAUAACAGCACUUAGACCUAAUCACUUCCUCUGGGAGAUUAGACCACCUCAACUGUUACUGCAUAGGAUCACAAGACUCUGCAUACAGCACACCAACAUACUGUAUGUUAUGCACUGUUGUUCAUGUAUACAUAAAAACUAGUUGAAGAAUAGUGUUACUUUUUCUUUUCUCCUUUGCUGCUAUUGAGAUUGAGGAUACUGCAUGCAUUAAGAAGGCAACAUGCAGUACAACGGGUCAUAACAGUUUAUUCACAAAUGUAUAGUCUGUUUUCUUAUCAUUUCCAAGUGGACAUCAUUAUUUUAAUUUACCCUGACAUGUAGGACCUUACAUUUAACAGUUCAAAUGUGUAUUUUAUUCUGUAUAAUGUUAAUUAUUGUCGUAUUUUGUAUAAUACGUUUUAACAAUUAAAAUAUAGUGCAAUACAACACCGACUAUUUC